CGGACACGGACCGCGAAACGCUCCCAUGUAGCCUGGCGGCGAAACCCGGCGGCCGCCCAAUCCCCGCCGCGCAGCUUGCCGCUGCGUUCGACGAGGGAGCCGGGGCACGGCAAGCCUGCCCCCCUAUAGAGAGACUGGUUCGGGGAUGCGGGCCAGUGGCGCGGCAACGUCGUGGGUGGUGGGGCAGACGCGCAUCUCUAGGACGACCCGGACGCCGCCGCCAUCCCAGCGCUCCUCGACUCCCGCUGCGACGGCGAGCAGGUCGACGCUCAAGCGCCUCCUCGUCCCCAUCUCGCGGGGAUUCUACGUCGCCCACCGCUUCCUGCAGGCGGUCAAGAACGUGCCGGCAUAGUCGCUUGAGAUGAAGAAGCUCGUCCACCUCUAACCGUUCCACCACGCCGAGAAGUUUAAAUCGCCGUGUAAGUGAAGGCGUAUUUCUCCUUCACGCCUUCGACGUCAACCCCCCUCCCCUUGGUGUAGUACUGUUUAAUCAGGCAGACCUGUUCUGGCCCACAAUACUAUUUCUCUUUUUUCUAAAAUCCAGGAAAGCAUUAUGUUUCGAAAGAUUCAAGGACGUUCAAGGAGUGACCAAAACCAUUGAAGACUUUGCUGAGCGAGGCAAGCAAUCUACUUUGAUCAUGUUGAACCCAUAUUUGCAUUACACUUAGAAUUAUUUUUCAUGCAUAAAGUAUUGUUUACUAGUAUUGCUAUGUUAAGUAAAUUAGCUAGGGUUUAGCUAUGCCCUAUGUCCUUGAUAUUGACACACCUUUGACAUUCUUAUGCUAAGUAAAUUAGCCAGGGUUUAGCUAUCCUCUAUGUGUUUGAUAUUGACACCCUCCUUUGACAUUCUUAAUGCCCCUCCUUUCUAACCAGGCAGUGGUCACAAAUAAAUGUGAGUCAUAUGUGCAAGUUUAAUAGUAAUGCUUAGCCAUGCUAGUCGCGUAAAUCAUAGGACUUGGGAAGAAUCUUUAUUACUCAUAAAUGUUUUACAAAAACCAAGGGUGUCACUAAUGCCCAUGGGAUGGCUCUGAAAAUAAAGUUUUACAAAAUGGAGAUGAAGUGGAGAUUUAGUAAGGUGAUUGUGAUCUUGACGAGAUAGUCAAAGAUGUUCGGUGGAUUAUGAAAAUUUAUGUCUAGUAAAUGAGCAUGGUGGUUAUUAUAUUGGCGGAUAAAUGGAUCUUUAAUAAGCUUAAAGCAAUUUGGAUUUAGUUAGGAGAUUAUGAUCUUGAACCAAAUUUAAUGGUGGAUUAUUGAGAUUUUGAUGCAUUUAUUUAGUUCAUUGUGAUCUUGAGGAGAUAGUCAAAGAUGUUCGGUGGAUUAAUUAAUCUUGGAAAAUUUGGAUUUAGUUAGGUGAUUGUUAUAUUGAACCGUAUUUCAUGAUGGAUUAGGUGAUUGUGACAUGCUCACAUACUAAAAAUCCAUUUAUCCACCACUAUAAUAACCAACAUGCUCACCUACUAGAUGUAAAUUCAUAUAAUCUAUGGAACAUCUUUUACUAGCUCAUCAAGAUCCCAAUCACCUAACUAAAUCCAACCAAAGCCUCAUAAUCCACCAUAAAAUUUGGUUAAAAGAUCGCAAUCACCUACCAAAAUCCAAA